rnacentral:rRNA from 1 species
UACAGAGGUCUCAAGCGUUGUUCGGAUUCAUUGGGCGUAAAGGGUGCGUAGGCGGUCGGGUAAGUCUGACGUGAAAUCUCCAAGCUCAACUUGGAAAUGGCGCCGGAUACUAUUCGGCUCGAGGAGUGGAGGGGAGACUGGAAUUCUCGGUGUAGCAGUGAAAUGCGUAGAUAUCGAGAGGAACACCAGUGGCGAAGGCGAGUCUCUGGACACUUCCUGACGCUGAGGCACGAAAGCCAGGGGAGCAAACGGG